rnacentral:rRNA from 1 species
UAGUGACGUAGCUAACGCGUGAAGUUGACCGCCUGGGGAGUACGGUCGCAAGAUUAAAACUCAAAGGAAUUGACGGGGACCCGCACAAGCGGUGGAUGAUGUGGAUUAAUUCGAUGCAGCGCGAACAACCUUACCUACCCUUGACAUGUCCGGAAGCCUGUAGAGAUACGGGGGUGCCCGAAAGGGAGCCGGAACACAGGUGCUGCAUGGCUGUCGUCAGCUCGUGUCGUGAGAUGUUGGGUUAAGUCCCGCAACGAGCGCAACCCUUGUCCUUAGUUGCUACGCAAGGGCACUCUAAGGAGACUGCCGGUGACAAACCGGAGGAAGGUAGGGACGACGUCAAGUCCUCAUGGCCCUUAUGGGUAGGGCUUCACACGUCAUACAAUGGCCGGUACAGAGGGUUGCCAACCCGCGAGGGGGAGCCAAUCCCAGAAAGCCGGUCGUAGUCCGGAUUGCAGUCUGCAACUCGACUGCAUGAAGUCGGAAUCGCUAGUAAUCGCGGAUCAGCAUGUCGCGGUGAAUACGUUCCCGGGUCUUGUACACACCGCCCGUCACACCAUGGGAGUGGGUUUUACCAGAAGCAGGUAGCCUAACCGUAAGGAGGGCGCCUACCACGGUAGGAUUCAUGACUGGGGUGAAGUCGUAACAAGGUAGCCGUA